AAAAAUAAAAGGUAUUUAUUUUUAAAAUAACCAAGAAUAUCAUGUCUUUUACAAUACAUGUAAUUUGUUGAAGUUAUUAUCAUUAUUUGCAGGUAUUUCUUUAUAGGUUUAUUUUAUAAAGCUACUUAUCGUAGCAAUAGUGGAUAUCAUACAUAAUGUUUCGAGCCGGAAUUAUGUUAUGUCGGGUCGAUAUACAAGAUUAUUUAGUAUUACUUUGCAGUAAAUCAGCUUCUUGAGAAAAGUAAUUUAUUAUGACGGAUAAAUGAAUUUUGAAUAAUUUGUCAUGUAAAGUGUUACAUUAUGGAGUCUUUGAUUUAGUUAGCUUCAAUUGCUUUGUUAGAAGAAACAAGUAAUGACUAUAAUAACAUUUAAAAUGUCCUUUAAAAUAUAAUUUGUCUAUAGAACUAUUAAAAAUGGAAAAUCCAUAUUUUGUGCUAUUACAUAUUAUGCACGAUUUCCUGAAUGGCUUUAAAGAAGUAUACACUCAGGUCAAUUAAAUUUUUCAAUGUAAAUUCUGAACAAUUUGCAUAUUUUUUAGAGAAGAAAAAUUAAUUGACCGAGGUACUUGUACGUUUAUGAAGAACCAACAAGGAAUACAAUGAUCCCCCGGAGUAUAUUGAUCAAAUCGGAAGCAAGCCAUAAAAAGGGAUCGCCUCCAGCAGACCAGGAAAUAACUUCUAUCGGGCAAGUUUAUACCUCGAGAGAAUAAUAGCCAGACAGCAGAAAAAUAGCUGUCUUAGGUGUAAGCCAGCUUAAGGUGCAAGAGGUUCAUCUUCGAAAUGGCUGUCUAUUCUUCAGCGUACUUCAGGGAUCCACUUCUCCUUGGUGACAGGUUAUUUUUACGGCUGUCAGUGCUGAGUUCGACGUGGUAAUUCAUAAUCAUUAGAAGAUCUACAAGUAGAAGUAGUGGUUAUUAGUGUCGGACUUUGUAGACACCAACAUCUUUUAUAUCAAGGGGAAAUAAGUUGGUAGCAGAAACCCGUAGAGAAGAAUAACAAGUGCUUCUUCUGCCAUUUCUUCAAAAUUAAAAAAGAAAAUGAAAUAACUUUUCAAACAAUAAAACACCGAUUCAGUGAUAUAUUUUAUUUAAAUCUUUUGAAGAGGAAUUUUAAUUAGCAAGUUUCUUAAGUGAUUAAUCUCCAUAAAUAAUGGAGAAAUGAAAAGUACAGCUAGACGUGGAACUAGAGAUUAGCAUGUCAGAACAGUUGCUAAUGUAAAAGCUGUUAAAUAUCAACGGUAGAUACAUAUACUGUCUAUGAACGACCAUAGACAGAUGUGUUGUAAUAAGCAAUAAUGAUGAGCUAAUGAGUAAUGAUAAUAAUAAAAGAAACAAAGACCAACAGUACAUAAAAUCACAUAUAAAGCUAUUAGUCUUUUGAUCUACUGAAUUCGUUUAUAGUCGAGUUUUAUAAAUAUUUUCUAGCCUAGGUUAUAUUUUCUUCCGAGAAUCACGCAAGGGUUUAGAAACUUGUUUCAUGUUGUGGUUAUAACUAUGCAAUAUGCUCGUUUUUCACUGUCAAUAUCGUGAGGUUAAAAUCCAAAGUAUGUUUCUAGACCAAGUAUAUUCAUCAACAGUUAAUUGAGCUGACAUGUAUUUUUUCUAUAAGUAAUUUUUAGGUAGAUUUCUUAAGAAAUUUAGCUAUUGUAGUCGGUCUUAUUUCGCAAUUUUAAGAAAAUUUUGUCAUAAUGUGUGUUAUUUCGACGAGUUAUGACGAAAAAUAGCAUUGGCUUAAAAGUAUAUAUCUUUAUGAAAUUUUUUGGAGCUAUUCUAUGAAUCAAUACCAAGAUUGAGUUCAAAGAUAAACAAAAAUGGCGGGUUAAUUUACGAGUUGUGGGUGUUUAACAUUUUUUUUCAUUUUCAAAACAUUUUUU
rnacentral:lncRNA from 1 species